AGAGUUUGAUCAUGGCUCAGAAUGAACGUUGGCGGCGUGGAUUAGGCAUGCAAGUCGAGCGCGAAACCCCGCAAGGGGUGGAAAGCGGCGAAAGGGACAGUAACACGUGGAUUAUCUACCCCUCGGUCUGGGAUAGCUGCGGGAAACUGCAGGUAAUACCAGAUGAUGUCUUCGGACCAAAGGUGUGAUUCCGUCGAGGGAUGAGUCCGCGUCCUAUUAGCUAGUUGGUAGGGUAACGGCCUACCAAGGCCAUGAUGGGUAGCGGGUGUGAGAGCAUGACCCGCGUCACUGGGACUGAGAUACUGCCCAGACACCUACGGGUGGCUGCAGUCGAGGAUCUUCGGCAAUGGGCGCAAGCCUGACCGAGCGACGCCGCGUGUGGGAUGAAGGCCUUCGGGUUGUAAACCACUGUCGGAGGGGAUGAAAUGCCCUGGGGUUCUCCCCAGGGCUUGACAUAGCCUCAAAGA
rnacentral:rRNA from 1 species